CACGUAGUUAGCCGGGGCUUCUUAGUCAGGUACCGUCAUUUCUUUCUUCCCUGCUGAUAGAGCUUUACAUACCGAAAUACUUCUUCACUCACGCGGCGUCGCUGGAUCAGGGUUCCCCCCAUUGUCCAAUAUUCCCCACUGCUGCCUCCCGUAGGAGUUUGGGCCGCGUCUCAGUCCCAAUGUGGCCGUCCACCCUCUCAGGCCGGCUACUGAUCGUCGCCUUGGUGGGCCGUUACCCCGCCAACAAGCUAAUCAGACGCGGGUCCAUCUUAUACCACCGGAGUUUUUCACACUGGGCCAUGCAGCCCCGUGCGCUUAUGCGGUAUUAGCACCUAUUUCUAAGUGUUAUCCCCCUGUAUAAGGCAGGUUACCCACGCGUUACUCACCCGUCCGCCACUAAGAUGCCGACAUCUUGGCGCUUAGUAAACUAACCGCCUCAAAAAUGGCAUCCCCGUUCGACUUGCAUGUGUUAAGCACGCCGCCAGCGUCAUCUGAGCCAGGAUCAAACUACU
rnacentral:rRNA from 1 species